GCCUCUUUAAUUCAGUCGGUAGAAUGGCGGACUUUUAAUCCGAGGGUCGCUGGUUCGAUUCCAGCAAGAGGUG
rnacentral:tRNA from 1 species